UAUUUAUGAAUGCCUUAAAAAAUAGUAACGUAAAAUUGGAACAAUACAGAGAAGAUUAACAUGGCCCCUGCGCAAGGAUGACACGCAAAUUCGUGAAACAUUCCAUAUUUUU